CAGUAGUCACGUAGUUUGAUCAGUGGCUACAGAACGACGCUGGCGGCAUGCCUAACACAUGCAAGUCGAACGAGACCUUCGGGUCUAGUGGCGCACGGGUGCGUAACGCGUGGGAACCUGCCUUUAGGUUCGGAAUAACUCAGAGAAAUUUGAGCUAAUACCGGAUAAUGUCUUCGGACCAAAGAUUUAUCGCCUUUAGAUGGGCCCGCGUUGGAUUAGCUAGUUGGUGGGGUAAAGGCCUACCAAGGCGACGAUCCAUAGCUGGUCUGAGAGGAUGAUCAGCCACACUGGGACUGAGACACGGCCCAGACUCCUACGGGAGGCAGCAGUGGGGAAUAUUGGACAAUGGGCGAAAGCCUGAUCCAGCAAUGCCGCGUGAGUGAUGAAGGCCUUAGGGUUGUAAAGCUCUUUUACCCGAGAUGAUAAUGACAGUAUCGGGAGAAUAAGCUCCGGCUAACUCCGUG
rnacentral:rRNA from 1 species